rnacentral:tRNA from 1 species
AUAGCUCAGUGGUAGAGCGCAUGCUUAACAUGCACGAGGUCCUGGGUUCAAUCCCCAGU